UUCAAGCUUCCAUGUUUACGUUGAGUGGUGGAUAACUUUACUAUUUUAAUAUAUCAAAAGUUAGUUUUUCAAAAACGGAAGGUCUGAAUUUAAAUUAUAUUCACCAACACCAACCACUCAUGAACCAUGACUCAUCCUACAUCUACCAACGACAUUAUUUUCAGAUUCAUCCAUAACAAAUGAAUUGUGAAAACAGAUCUCAAAUGAUCUUAAAGAACAAACCACUUAUACAACACCAAAAUGAUAUUAAAUCAUGUAACCAUGGACUAUUCCACUCUGCUUGAUGGAUCUCAGCAUUAAUUGGUCCCAGAGUUAUUAUCUUGCUUCAUUUCGGGAGUCAACUUGAGUGGAUCAAAUUACCAAAGCAUCUAUUAUUCAUCACUUCUCCGAAAGCAUUUUGGGGGUCAUGAUAGUCCGAGCAUUUAGAAAGCAUAAAAGAUUUACCUGAAGAGAACAUGUACAUAAAAGGGUGAAUGCUAAUUUAAGCAUGGAUUUCCACAACUAUAUUUCCAAUGAGUGAUUGCGCUUACGCUUUUAGAAUUGCUUGGAAGUUUGAUUUUCUGCAUUUCCGCCAUGUUCAUGAUCCUCUUACCAAGCAAGAUCAUAAAGCUAGGAUCAAAGUUGGAAAACGGACGAAUACUCAAGCUGGUCCCAGAGUGGCCUAAAAGCGAUAUACCAUUCCACCGUAUAGCCUUGAAGAAUUGUAGCAGAACAAUCACAGGUUCCACCGUUCCAUCCUCAAGGUAUAGGAGUAUUUGAUCAACCAUCUUUCCAAACAAAAUGCAGUCAAUCUUGUUGUGCCUACAAAGAAAUACCAAAUCAGAUGAGAAGUGCAUCCCAAGUGUUUUGCAGAUGGAAAAAAUCACCAAAUAAACUGUAAUCAGAGAAUAGCAAAGGUAAUGAAUGUAGUACAUACUCUAAGUCUUUCAAAACAAUUACCAUUCGUUUAGUCUCUUUUCCCUUAGUGGUAACUGGUAACCAAGUCUCUUGGGUCCUCCUUACCAACCACCUCCUUACCAACCACUUUCGCAAUCACAUCUUAAAAAAAGGAGGAACAUUAAAAUGUACUCUGAACUUCCCAACUGUAUAAAUAGAAGGAUUAUUUGUAUCGAUUAGGAGGGGAACAUAUCAAACAAAUCGUUCCGGUGAAUCUUAUCAGCGUUGAGAAGCUCAACUAUGGUUCUGAAUCUAAAGGCUUCCAAUGGAAAGCUUGGUUCUUAAAUAUGAUUUACUGUUGUCCUAUGUAAAAAUGCUAGUAUCCACUGGCUUGGGAUUGUCUAGGCUAUUCUGGUGUUCUUCACAACAAUAAAAUUGUUCAUGGCAUACAUUUGGAACUGAACAAUCAAACCACUCCACUUUUGGACCAGCGCCUUAGAUAUUGAAGCUAUCAUCCUGUUUU